UCUGUAAGCAAAUACAACUCGAAACGUCAAGCGUUGGUAUGGGAUUGGCCCACCAUUCCAAUGCAAGGCUGAAUAGAGAGGUAAGAGCUAUCAGCUGAUGUCAUGAUAGAUCGGAUCAAUAGCUGUACUAUUACGAUUCGGUCCAUCGUGACAGGUCUGGAGGAUACUAGCAUGUCAUUCAAGAGCUUAGCGCAACCAUUUUUUUCUUUUCUUUUUUUCACAAUCAAGUGAAAUUGCGCAAACAAUGAACUCUAGCUGCUAGUACCCAAUUUUGAGCAUUGACUUUCUACUUGACAUUUUCAAUGGAAAACUAGGAAAACCCACGAUAGCGAUUGCAAAUGCAGCAUGAGAGGAUCUUCGCUACACCACACAGUGCAAUAGAGGCGGGGUAAGAAACUGGAAAUUCGAAAAUGUUCAACUUCAAGAUGCCUUUGGGCUAAAGCGAUGAAUCAGGGUGGCGGUAGGUAUUAUAAAAAUGAACGUGUGAAGUGGAAGUAAACCAGUUACGUUGGUGCCUUCAAACUGACUCCAUCGUCGGCAACAUAUUGCAUCGGCGAAAUAUUGCAUAUUCGGCUGUCAAUCAUGCGGGACUACGAUGUCAUGCUGCUGUUCGCUUUUGCCCUUUCGAUGGCUACAUCGGCGGGUACCGAUGGGUUUGUCCUCAUCUGGACACUAGACUACACAACCCCUACGCCCUACUACACCACCUCGUAUGCUGCUCCCUCUUACAGCACCAAGGCUCUCGAAUAUUAUACCACAUAUGCAGCUCCCAGCUACUACACCGAGUCUCCCAACUACUUAGUCUACUACACGACCAGAACGCCCAAAUACUACACGACCAUAUACUCCGCUACAACAUACUACACUCAAGCCAUUAAAUACUAUGCUGCUCAAAGGGGGAAAAUAUAACUUUUUGUUCGAAACUGUGGCUAUUGAAAUAAUGCAGGGAAACUUAUGAAGACAAAACCAAAAUCAUGUCUUGAGUUCUUUGAGAUUCACUUGAACUUAACACCAGAGAAGGACCUGCCUUUGAUCAGAAACAGAACUGGUGAUAUCCAUAGCAAAAUAAACUGGGAGACUCGGUGUAGUAGCUGGGAGCUGCAUAUGUGGUAUAAUAUUCGAGAGCCUUGGUGCUGUAAGAGGGAGCAGCAUACGAGGUGGUGUAGUAGGGCGUAGGGGUUGUGUAGUCUAGUGUCCAGAUGAGGACAAACCCAUCGGUACCCGCCGAUGUAGC
rnacentral:misc_RNA from 1 species